rnacentral:rRNA from 1 species
GAUGAACGCUGGCGGCGUGCCUAAUACAUGCAAGUCGAGCGAACGGACGAUACUCUUGCUUCUCUUAUGUUAUCGGCGGACGGGUGAUUAACACGUGUAUAACCUACCUUUAAUUCUGGGAUAACUUCGGGAACCCUUAUCUCAUACCGGCUAAUAUUUUGAACCUCAUGGUUCUUUAGUGCUUUACGUUCUUGCUGUCUCUUCUAGAUGUUUCCGCGCUGCAUUAGCUAGUUGGUAAGGUAACGGCUUACCAAGGCAACGAUGCAUAGCCGACCUGAGAGGGUGAUCGGACACACUGGAACUGAGACACGGACCAGACUCCUACGGGAGGCAGCAGUAGGGAAUAUUAGGCAAUGGGCGAAAGCAUGACGGAGCAAAGCCGCGUGAGUGAAGAAGGUCUUCGGAUCGUAAAACUCUGUUAGUAGGGAAGAACAGAAGUGUAAGUAACUGUGGACAUAGUGACGGUACCAAAACAGAAAGCAACGGCUAACUACGUG